CCUACGGGUGGCAGCAGUGGGGGAUAUUGGACAAUGGGGGAAACCCUGAUCCAGCGACGCCGCGUGAGUGAAGAACUCUUUCUGUAUGUAAAGCUCUAUCAGCAGGGAAGAAAGACAUGACGGUACCUGAUUAAUACGCCCCGGCUAACUACGUGCCAGCAGCCGCGGUAAUACGGAGGGGGCAAGCGUUAUCCGGAAUUACUGGGUGUAAAGGGAGCGUAGACGGUAAUGCAAGUCUGGAGUGAAAGGCGGGGGCCCAACCCCCGGACUGCUCUGGAAACUGUGUAACUGGAGUGCAGGAGAGGCAGGCGGAAUUCCUAGUGUAGCGGUGAAAUGCGUAGAUAUUAGGAGGAACACCAGUGGCGAAGGCGGCCUGCUGGACUGUAACUGACGUUGAGGCUCGAAAGCGUGGGGAGCAAACAGGAUUAGAUACCCUAGUAGUC
rnacentral:rRNA from 1 species